GUCUGAUGCAGCAACGCCGCGUGGAGGAUGACACAUUUCGGUGCGUAAACUCCUUUUAUAUGAGAAGAUAAUGACGGUAUUAUAUGAAUAAGCACCGGCUAACUCCGUGCCAGCAGCCGCGGUAAUACGGGGGGUGCAAGCGUUACUCGGAAUCACUGGGCGUAAAGAGCAUGUAGGCGGAUUAAUAAGUUUGAAGUGAAAUCCUAUAGCUUAACUAUAGAACUGCUUUGAAAACUGUUAAUCUAGAAUGUGGGAGAGGUAGAUGGAAUUUCUGGUGUAGGGGUAAAAUCCGUAGAGAUCAGAAGGAAUACCGAUUGCGAAGGCGAUCUACUGGAACAUUAUUGACGCUGAGAUGCGAAAGCGUGGGGAGCAAACAGGAUUAGAUACCCUGGUAGUCCACGCCCUAAACGAUGUACACUAGUUGUUGUGAGACUUGAUCUUGCAGUAAUGCAGUUAACACAUUAAGUGUACCGCCUGGGGAGUACGGUCGCAAGAUUAAAACUCAAAGGAAUAGACGGGGACCCGCACAAGCGGUGGAGCAUGUGGUUUAAUUCGACGAUACACGAAGAACCUUACCUGGACUUGACAUAGUAAGAACUUUCUAGAGAUAGAUUGGUGUCUGCUUGCAGAAACUUAUAUACAGGUGCUGCACGGCUGUCGUCAGCUCGUGUCGUGAGAUGUUGGGUUAAGUCCCGCA
rnacentral:rRNA from 1 species